rnacentral:misc_RNA from 1 species
GCUGGCCAAUUUGAGCUUCACUUAUAGAGUGUUUUCUCAUAUAUGUGCAAGUACACAACAUAACUCAUUUUAGUUUUAAUCCUAGUCUUGGUGGGAUUGGCUAUGUGAAUCAUUUUCCUCUUAUCAUGUUUAGAACUGCAUCCUUAGUUAGUCUUUAGUAAGGUGUAGUGUUUCUAAAUCCUUCCCUACUUCAGCCUUUGUCAUCAUAGAUUUAUCACGCAUUUUCGUAUGUUGCG